UUUCAUACAAAGUAUGAGGAAAUAUUUGAGUUUUUUUUAAUAUAAAACACAUUUCAUUUAACUUCUUUCAGUUUCACAAGGUGUAAAUCUGUCAUACAUGAUGUUGAUACAGAGAUAAUAAUGCAAAUGUCUGCAAUGACAAUUACUCAAAAUGUCUCAAAGCAACAAAGAAAAUGGUUUUCCUCAGUACACAGAGAGAAAUGAUAAAAAGUAAGAAAGAAAAAUACACCCCAUUUACAUGUAAAUUGAUUUUUAUUCUUGUUGCAGUGAGAAGUCAGCGCAGGAACUAAAUGCAGGACUGAACAAGCAGGAGGUCAGAGCUGAAUACUAAUGAACUUCAUGUCACAAAAACAAAACCUGAGGCGCUGCCAAAGCAGCGAGUCGGCCGACAGAAACAUGCAACAUGAAGUUAGACGCCUGCAGGAAAACAAGGCUGUGCAGCCACAAAGCUGGGGAUCUGAAAAACCGCUGAACGAGGAACCAGGAGGAUAAGGGAGCGACAACAGGCUCGGUUUGGAGCUCCAAAAUCAGAAGGCAGAAACUGAACAACCACUGCAACAUCACAGCUUUCACACAGAGAGAAAGUGCUGCGUGGACCUCCUGCUGCAUCAGAGAACCUACACAUAUUCCCUCUGACUGCACCGUUAAGGCCCGACACGAGGAGCGAGCAGCUAUGAAACGCACACAGACGUCUCUGUCUUCCCGGAUAAGAAGCAGCUGUCUGCCUGUCAGCAGCGCCUGGACAAGAGACACUUUCUGAAAGUCAAAGACGCAAUCAUGUAAAUCAGGACACAGUUGAAGUCCCCAGCCUGAGGAAUCAGAAAUACAGAAAGAAACAGAGCCGGACGGCAACCAGUGAACAGUUAUUAGGCAACAUGCAGCACAUAACGGCUUCGACGCAAUCUCUGUACAGCAACUAAGAGCCAAAAUCAGUUCUCAUUCGCUGCUUUUCCAUUACAAAUGUACGUAAAACUUUGUCUAUAUUCCCACACAUUUUCACAUUCGCGGUAAUAAGAAAGGCACUUAAAAUCACACGUGAAAAAGUUUCUUCAUGCAUCAAGUCAUUAAAGAAACAUGAACCUCCAACUA